GAUGAAGAACGUAGCGAAAUGCGAUAAGUAAUGUGAAUUGCAGAAUUCAGUGAAUCAUCGAAUCUUUGAACGCACCUUGCGCCCUUUGGCCAUUCCGAAGGGCAUGCCUGUUUGAGUAUCAUGAACACCUCAACUCUUUAUGGUUUUCCAUGAUGAGCUUGGACUCUGGGGGUUUUGCUGGCUCACAGUCGGCUCCUCUAAAAUGAAUCAGCUUACCAGUGUUUGGUGGGUAUCAUGGGUGUGCUAACUAUCUACGCUUGUGGUUUUUCCACCAGGUAACCUUCAGCAGUGGAGGUUCGCUGGAGCUCAUAGAUGUCUCUCCUCAGUGAGGACAGCCCUUUGAAUGUUUGAUCUCAAAUCAGGUAGGACUACCCGCUGAACUUAAGCAUAUCAAUAAGCGGAGGA
rnacentral:misc_RNA from 1 species